rnacentral:lncRNA from 10 species
AGGAUUUCAACAGAUGAAUAUGGCGGUGGGGGGGUGUAAACAUUCCGAUCGCAGCAGCCACCCACGUAUCACCUUGGUCUGGGGUGUAGCAGGCAUUGCCAGGGCUCAGCCAAAGCCGGGCUCCAGCUGCUCGUGGAGAUAACAAAGGCUUCUGUGGCCUCAUCUACUUCAUUGUGACGAGGUCGAGGCUGUAAGGGGCCAAGUGGAUGAUUUAGCUCAACAGCUAAAUGAUGUUCUGGGAGAAAGGGACUGAGGCUGCCGUGGACAGUGGUCAUCUCGGGCUUCGAAGUCAAUGUGAAGUCAACGUCUAAUGGACCCGAGUUCAGCCAAGAACACACACCAGUUGUUCCAGGGAAGAAUCUCAUGGUGAAGCACUAGUGAGCGUCCAAGCAACUCCCAGCCUAACCUCACCGGUCUGACUGUGGGGCUGCUUCUGCCACGGCUCCUGGCUGGCGAUGGGGCUGUCAGCGUGUCAGCCAACCAUGCAUUGCAGAUGCACUUUGAAGAAAAUUAAUGUACCUGGGUACUUAUGGGACUCCCUGAAUGAGUGGGUAUAAUUGAAAUAGCCGGGACAUCAAAAAGCUGGAACACUGGGAGCCUGGCCCUAGGGUGGCGGAGGCCACAACGGAGCCCCCAGCCGGUUGGAAAGAGGCUUCCUAUGCUCUCCUUUCCAUGCCACUGCGGAAGUGCUAGGGAACAGGAAGACCAGGGCAUUGCCAAGUGAAUAAUAACAACCAUGUGUGCGGCGUUCACGAUACCCCAGGCUCAGUGAGCCUUUUACUCAGGGUCUCAUGUGAUGCUGAAAACAAUCCCAUGAAGUUUAGAAGCCUGUGCACACGAAGAGACGUGGUGUUUCCCUAUUGAUCCAAACUGCAUGCUGACCUGUUCCUGCCAGGGCUGCGCUCCUCCUGCUUUGCCCUGGCUCUCCCGUUCUGCACUCCCUCUUCUACCGGGAAUUCCUGGAAGCACCUUUUAUUCACAGUGCCUGCUUUGAAUAGAUACAAAUACAAUUUGUAUCUUAUGUAGUCCAUUCCACACAAUUGAAAAUAUAAUGUAAUAAAAAUCAGAAAAGUAAAUCCAGGAAAGUCUCUAACACAUAUUAGGGCCUCAAUAAAUGGACCCUAAGAGGGUGGGGAAAUGGCUUUGGUUUUUA